AUUGAACGCUGGCGGCAUGCUUUACACAUGCAAGUCGAACGGUAACAGGCCUUCGGGUGCUGACUAGUGGCGAACGGGUGAGUAAUGCAUCGGAACGUGCCCAGAGGUGGGGGAUAACGCAGCGAAAGCUGUGCUAAUACCGCAUGUGAUCUGAGGCUGAAAGCGGGGGACCACGCAGCAAUGUUUGGCCUCGCGCCUCUGGAGCGGCCGAUGUCGGAUUAGGUAGUUGGUGGGGUAAAGGCCUACCAAGCCGACGAUCUGUAGCUGGUCUGAGAGGACGACCAGCCACACUGGGACUGAGACACGGCCCAGACUCCUACGGGAGGCAGCAGUGGGGAAUUUUGGACAAUGGGCGCAAGCCUGAUCCAGCAAUGCCGCGUGCGGGAAGAAGGCCUUCGGGUUGUAAACCGCUUUUGUACGGAACGAAAAGGCGCUGGCUAAUACCUGGGGCUGAUGACGGUACCGUAAGAAUAAGCACCGGCUAACUACGUG
rnacentral:rRNA from 1 species